rnacentral:rRNA from 1 species
GACGAACGCUGGCGGCGUGCCUAAUACAUGCAAGUCGAGCGCAGGAAAUCGACGGAACCCUUCGGGGGGAAGUCGACGGAAUGAGCGGCGGACGGGUGAGUAACACGUAAAGAACCUGCCCUCAGGUCUGGGAUAACCACGAGAAAUCGGGGCUAAUACCGGAUGGGUCAUCGGACCGCAUGGUCCGAGGAUGAAAGGCGCUUCGGCGUCGCCUGGGGAUGGCUUUGCGGUGCAUUAGCUAGUUGGUGGGGUAAUGGCCCACCAAGGCGACGAUGCAUAGCCGACCUGAGAGGGUGAUCGGCCACACUGGGACUGAGACACGGCCCAGACUCCUACGGGAGGCAGCAGUAGGGAAUCUUCCACAAUGGACGAAAGUCUGAUGGAGCAACGCCGCGUGAACGAUGAAGGCCUUCGGGUCGUAAAGUUCUGUUGUAAGGGAAGAACAAGUGCCGCAGGCAAUGACGGCACCUUGACGGUACCUUGCGAGAAAGCCACGGCUAACUACGUGCCAGCCGCCGCGGUAAAAC